rnacentral:tRNA from 1 species
GGCAGAAUAGCUCAGUGGUAAAGUGCAUGCUUAGCAUGCAUGAGGUCCUGGGUUCAAUCCCCAGUACCUCCA